rnacentral:rRNA from 1 species
GAUGAACGCUGGCGGCGUGCCUAAUACAUGCAAGUCGAGCGAACGGACGAGAAGCUUGCUUUUCUGAUGUUAGCGGCGGACGGGUGAGUAACACGUGGAUAACCUACCUAUAAGACUGGGAUAACUUCGGGAAACCGGAGCUAAUACCGGAUAAUAUUUUGAACCGCAUGGUUCAAAAGUGAAAGACGGUCUUGCUGUCACUUAUAGAUGGAUCCGCGCUGCAUUAGCUAGUUGGUAAGGUAACGGCUUACCAAGGCAACGAUGCAUAGCCGACCUGAGAGGGUGAUCGGCCACACUGGAACUGAGACACGGUCCAGACUCCUACGGGAGGCAGCAGUAGGGAAUCUUCCGCAAUGGGCGAAAGCCUGACGGAGCAACGCCGCGUGAGUGAUGAAGGUCUUCGGAUCGUAAAACUCUGUUAUUAGGGAAGAACAUAUGUGUAAGUAACUGUGCACAUCUUGACGGUACCUAAUCAGAAAGCCACGGCUAACUACGUGCCAGCAGCCGCGGUAAUACGUAGGUGGCAAGCGUUAUCCGGAAUUAUUGGGCGUAAAGCGCGCGUAGGCGGUUUUUUAAGUCUGAUGUGAAAGCCCACGGCUCAACCGUGGAGGGUCAUUGGAAACUGGAAAACUUGAGUGCAGAAGAGGAAAGUGGAAUUCCAUGUGUAGCGGUGAAAUGCGCAGAGAUAUGGAGGAACACCAGUGGCGAAGGCGACUUUCUGGUCUGUAACUGACGCUGAUGUGCGAAAGCGUGGGGAUCAAACAGGAUUAGAUACCCUGGUAGUCCACGCCGUAAACGAUGAGUGCUAAGUGUUAGGGGGUUUCCGCCCCUUAGUGCUGCAGCUAACGCAUUAAGCACUCCGCCUGGGGAGUACGACCGCAAGGUUGAAACUCAAAGGAAUUGACGGGGACCCGCACAAGCGGUGGAGCAUGUGGUUUAAUUCGAAGCAACGCGAAGAACCUUACCAAAUCUUGACAUCCUCUGACCCCUCUAGAGAUAGAGUUUUCCCCUUCGGGGGACAGAGUGACAGGUGGUGCAUGGUUGUCGUCAGCUCGUGUCGUGAGAUGUUGGGUUAAGUCCCGCAACGAGCGCAACCCUUAAGCUUAGUUGCCAUCAUUAAGUUGGGCACUCUAAGUUGACUGCCGGUGACAAACCGGAGGAAGGUGGGGAUGACGUCAAAUCAUCAUGCCCCUUAUGAUUUGGGCUACACACGUGCUACAAUGGACAAUACAAAGGGCAGCGAAACCGCGAGGUCAAGCAAAUCCCAUAAAGUUGUUCUCAGUUCGGAUUGUAGUCUGCAACUCGACUACAUGAAGCUGGAAUCGCUAGUAAUCGUAGAUCAGCAUGCUACGGUGAAUACGUUCCCGGGUCU